rnacentral:rRNA from 1 species
UACAGAGGUCCCGAGCGUUGUUCGGAUUCAUUGGGCUUAAAGGGUGCGUAGGCGGCGUGGCAAGUCUGAUGUGAAAUCCCGGGGCUCAACCCCGGAACUGCAUUGGAUACUGCCUUGCUAGAGUACUGGAGAGGGAACUGGAAUUUACGGUGUAGCAGUGAAAUGCGUAGAGAUCGUAAGGAAGGCCAGUGGCGAAGGCGAGUUCCUGGACAGUUACUGACGCUGAGGCACGAAGGCCAGGGGAGCAAACGGG